UACGGGGGGGCAAGCGUUGUUCGGAAUUACUGGGCGUAAAGGGCUCGUAGGUGGCCAACUAAGUCAUACGUGAAAUCCCUCAGCUUAACUGGGGAACUGCGUCUGAUACUGGAUGGCUUGAGUUUGGGAGAGGGAUGCGGAAUUCCUGGUGUAGCGGUGAAAUGCGCAGAUAUCAGGAGGAACACCGGUGGCGAAGGCGGGUCUCUGGGCCGAUACUGACGCUGAGGAGCGAAAGCGUGGGGAGCGAACCGG
rnacentral:rRNA from 1 species